rnacentral:lncRNA from 1 species
UUCGCCGCAAGCGUUUCGCGGCAAAGAUUACGGUUGCAUAAGCUGCAGUUGCCGGGAAGCUGCAACUAUGUGGCCGGUCUAUAUCGAGUGCUAUGCCUCGC